rnacentral:lncRNA from 1 species
UUUAGCCACACAAACUUCCACUGUACAUAUCAUCAUGUACAUAAUCCUUGGUUUUUAAUAUUGAUAUGCUUCAUGCAAUUUAAAUUAUUUAUUUACUAAGACUUAGAUAUAAAUACGGAAAUGUUUAUUUAUACACUUUGUAGCACCCAUAAGAUAAAACUCCUAUAAAAGUCAAUCGGAAGCUCCAAACAAAAAGUUUUCCUACAAUAGAUCCUUUUGGUAUGCU